GGUACCCACGGCCACGUGCACAUGAACGACUUUUCCGAUGGCCGAUCUUCCAGCGAAGAUUAAGUGUAACGGUGGAUUGGAUUUCUAAGAAGUUUUCCUUUUAAAGCGACAUAUAAAGCAUGGGACCUCUUCGGAUAAAGUUGCGGUUAAGAGGGAGUACUAAUGAUGAGGCUUCUAGCUCGACUGCCACAGCUCGCUCAACAGAGAAAAAAGUGCAUUGGAGAACUCAUAUGAGAGAAUGCAAGCCAGAGAAAUAUGCAGAGUUGAGAAAACAUGAGCAGAUAUACAAACGUCAUCGAGAUGCCACCUUGGAAGGGGAGAAGCUGGAAAGGGAAAGGGAGCUAACACGAGAACGAGUGAGGCGGUUCAGGGAGAGGCAGAGAGCGGAACAUGCCACGAUAAGCAUGGGACCUCUUCCACCUCUUCGGAUAAAGUUGCAGUCAAGAGGGAGUACAAAUGAUGAGGCUUCUAGUUCGACUGCCACCGUUCGCUCAAAGGAGAAAAAAGUGCAUUGGAGAACUCACAUGAGAGAACGCAAGCACGAGAAAUAUGCAGAGUUGAGAAAACAUGAGCAGAUAUACAAACGUCAUCGAGAUGCCACCUUGGAAGGGGAGAAGCUGGAAAGGGAAAGGGAGCUAACAAGAGAACGAGUGAGGCGGUUCAGGGAGAGGCAGAGAGCGGAACGUGCCAUAGCAAAAAACAACAACAAACCAAAAUCAAAGAGUCAGAAAGCAAAAGAGAAAAGGCAGCAAGAAAAGUGGAGAAUGGAAAAGAGAAAACAAAGGGAGACAUGGUCCGCAGAGAAGAGGAAAGAGUACAAUAUGAAGCAAAGGACAAAUAGAAUCAAAGACAAAGAACUGCAAGAAUUUUCCAGAAAGAAGAUGCUUGAAGAACAGACAAAGAAAAUCAAGGAAGAAAAGAAAGAAAAAGAACAGAGAUAAGAGGAGGACAGACUUGAAAAAAGAAAGCAACAAGCUGCAGACGCUGAGAAAACACUGCAAGAGGAAGAAUGGCAGCAAAUGCAAAAAAAAAAAAAAAAAAUGACACACCUCAUCACUCUCAUGAAGCCAAGCGGAAAUAUCUCUCUCGGACUUGCAAAAAACUGUCACCAAAUGCCACCAUCUUCUCUGACACCAUAUGUGAUUUUGUCAUUCACUCCACCCCUAGAAGACGGAAAGCCCUUCAAGAUAAAGGCAUCAAGCUUAGCAAGACAGACACAGACAGCAUCAUCACAACAAAUGUGGCUCUGGAAUUGAAGAAGGAUCGUAAUAAACGCAAAAAAAAACCAAGACUUGCAAGACGUAGGUUGGCUUCAUCACUACAGAGUCUGAAAAUGCUAAAAAAGCAGCAUCUUGCAAAAAAUACAUUCAGUGCUACGCCGAAGCUGUUGGCAAACUUGAAGAAACAAGAGAAGUACAGCAAUCCAUUCAGCAUACCCAAUGAGGUGAAGGUCAUGGUUAGAUCAUUUUAUGAAGAUGAGGCAACCCAAUUACCCGACAAGAAAUAUGUCAGCAAAAAGUCCAUGCGAUCAACUGCUGUGUUACAGAGGCCUAUCUCAUCAUUGUUCAAAUAAUUCCAGCAGGCUAAUCCAGAAGUUAAAAUAAAGACGUCUAGUUCAUGCUACGCCCAAAGCACAUUAAGCCCAUGCGGUUGAACACAUUGAGGGGCUGCUUGUGUGAAUGGUGUCAAAACACACACUUCAAAGUGAUCACGAUCAAUGCCUUCUUAGAUAUCGCCCAUGCAGAGCUCCCAACAGAUCACCAUUUCUUUGGUGCAAGGCACGGAAAGGGGCCUUCCGAUGGAGAAAGUGCUGUAGUGAAACAGAAAGCCUCAAUGGCAGUUUGUACUUCAACUGCAAGAAUACCCAAUGCUUUGUUACUAUAUAAAUUUGCCAAAGAGGAACUAACUCGCAAUGAUGGCCCUUGCAUGCCGUUUAGGAGAGAAUUCUACAUUCCUUUGAGUGACAUCAACCAUGAAAGACCAGGCCCAGUCAAAGCUGUCAAAGACACACGGAAAAUUGCCUGUGUGAAGAAUGGUGGAGGUCCAUUAGAGUUGUUCCACAGGACAUUGUCAUGCUUUUGUAUUCCUUGCAUGACAACAAAUGGAGAUGAUUUGAACAAGGAUUAUGUGAGCAAGUGGACCUCAACUCAGCUUCUACUCCCAGACAACACACCAGUAAAACCUUCUGCUGUGGGUGAAAAGAACAAUCCUGGUGCCAUGCAGACCUCAUCAACCGCUGACACAUCGCAGUUGGCAUCAGUGAGUACUACCACCUCGGGAACCUCACCAGAUGAACUUGCUGAGGAAGCUGUAUCAGAAGAAAACCUGUGUUCUGGAUCUGCAGUGCAUGAGACUUUGUCACAGAGAGGGUUCCUGUGUAUCGUGCAACGAAGAACAGAUCAGAUGCAUUGUUCAUUGCCCAAGUAGCCUCUGUUGAAGGUGGAAAUGUGCGUCUUCAGUAGAUGAAGCGGCAAUCUGGUGACCUGUACUCCUGGCCCGAUGGCGCGGCACAAUUCUACCCCCAUCCACUUUGUGACACUGACAGAAUCCUUCCCCCAACCUGAAACAGUCGUCAUUGGGUCACCGGUCUUCUUGAAGUUCAUAAACUGAGUUGUAACCUGAAUGCAGAGAGAAAUAUUGCAUGUUAAUUCUCAGUCAGAAUUAGAGUAAUACUUCUUUUGCAUUUGCUCGUAAGAAGUUUACCAGAGUUUUUUCAACCAAAGGAAAUGUUUGCAGUUUUAUUCUUGAAUAUUUAUUAGAAUAGCCUAGUACAAUUACUUUCUUUCUUAUCUUGAAAAAAUUAGAUAUAUAUUAAGGUGGUAAGUUUUUUUUUGUAUUCAUUUGUGCCAAUAAGUACUAUACAAUUGUCUUUUGCAUGUUCACACUUAAUAUUUUAUCCAAUGUAUAGAAGUUCCAGUGACAUGAUUAUAUUUCAAUUAAUGUUCACUUCUACACUUCCAUUUCUAGAACAUGAUGUCCAUGUAUAAACUGAGGUAAAACAUAUAAGCCAGUUCGUAGUUCCACUCUGCGCAUGAUCAGAAGAUUCUGCUCAUGAUCAGAGGAAGGUCAUUUGUACUAAAGUGACAUGGUGGUUUAAAAUUUAAUGAGAUAAGCACCAACUUCGAUGUCUUGAUUAUUCAUAUAUUCUUUUGAAUUGUGUUUUUCAUUCACAUCCACAAAAAAACAAUGCAUCCACGAAUGACUGGUAUAUAUUUCACAGAUUGCCAAGUACAUUGCACAACAUCCUCUAAUAUGCAUUCAAAGUAGAAAUGCGACAAAUACCUUCAUAGAGUGUUCAUUGAUGUGCUAUUCUAGUCACCUGGGCCCGUAUUCCAUAAACGAGAUAAGCAUGCUUAAAUAAAAAAUCUAAGCAUUUUGUCUUAUUUUCUGUCAUAGACAAAAUUCUUUGCCAAGAUGCGUAUUCCAUAAAGAAUUUUGUCCUAGAAUUUGGCUAAGAGUUUUUGCGUGACUAAGACAGAUAUAGGAUGAAUGGCUAAGCAACUUUUCUUAUAACUGCAGAGUCUGUAUUCCAUAAAUUUAACAUGGCUAAGAAUUUUGCCCUAACUUUAAGACAGUUGUGAGCUGUCUUAAUUGAUUUAGUUUCAAGGCAAUUUCGACCCAAGCCUUUUCUUUAUCCUGAAACGUGAUACGUGAAUUAUGCGUGGGUCUCAAGAUCUCUUCCCUUUCUCUUAUUUCUGCUAUUAGCGUAAUUUUCUCUCCUUCAGUGAAAUUUGCCUUCCUUUUUUCUCAGCCUCCAUCUUGAUAUUUCUUAUGAUGCGAUUUUUGCUUUAACACACAAAAUGCAUAGACUUUUUACUGCGGAGCAGCUGUUAGGUUCGCGACAAAAGUUGCGCGACGUUGCAAUUUUCUCAUGAUGUCAUAGAAUUUGAGACUUUGGCUUAGCCAUAUCCUCUGACUUGAGACAAAUGUCUUAAAGUUUAUAGAAUAUCGUUAAGGAAGAUUUCUUAGACAAGCAAAAUGCUAAGACAAAUUGCUAAAACUUAAGCAAAAAGCUUAUCUCGUUUAUGGAAUACGGGCCCAGGUCUAUUCAAUUUCUUCAUCCCGCUAUGUAAGGCAUGCAUACGUAAUAUCUUGCUUUGAAAUCUUAAUGCAAGAAAUGAAAUUGUCCAUGAAGUAACUACGAACUGGUCUAAUAGAGUAAUCAAAUUGAACAAGUUAUUUAUGUAAGGUAUUAACCAUGUGCUGCCCAUGUCUUGCAUGCCACUUGUCUUGUUUUGCCUUGAAAUACCUUAGCUUAGAACUUAACUAGUAGCUUUUUCCUACAUCUUUUUCACUUGGGAAAUGUAUCAAAGGUAUCAAAAUUAUAAUUGUGUAUGGAAAAACACCUUUUACCUGUUCAUUGCUAUGCAUUUCAGAAGCUUUCAUGUAGAUAUUGUAUUUCUACACUUGAGUAAGUUGAGUAAACUUGCAUUAGGUGUGUUGGUAAUACUAUUCGAUAUGACCAUUACAAGGACAUGAUGUCUGUGUAACGGUGGUAUAAAAAUUGAAAAGUAAAAUUGAAAAGUUAAGUUGAACAGGUUAUUUUUGUCAAACACCAAUCAUCGAGUAGGCCUACUCUAUUGUUGUGUGUUCUUACUCUCCUUUGUUUUCCAUGUCGAAAACAGCGAUGUGAAAGAGAAUUAUAGUAAAUUGCUGUACACAUCUAAUAUACUGCUCAGACAAAGCCAUGAAAUCAAUCUAGAUGUCUACAGAUAUCAUAAGAAAAGAUAUAGUGGCGAAAAGUAACCUAUUCACUAUGCAUUAGUUCGUGUUUCAUUUGAUGUGUUUUGCUCUUAAUGUGUAAUAAAUUAUUUAAUAUAUAAACUGUCUUUUUCAACUUACCGAAAGAAAGUGGGUUCUGUGCUGUUUAUACCUUCAUUAUAAAGACAUGAUGUCCAUGAAACGGUGGUAAUACACAUUGAAGAAUCACGUUGAACAAGCAAAUUUUGCAUAACUUCAUCAUAGAGUGUUCUGCUGCCAUCUGUUACUACUCUAUUUUAUUUUCCAUGUUAAAAACUACUUCAACUCGUAAGAAUUAAAGUUUAAUAUGUAUACUGACAUUAGGAAAUUCUCUCAGAGUCUAUCAAGAUAGCAGGUUAUAGUUAAAGAGAGCAAAGAAAAUGUGUAAGUUAUGCAAAAAAUAGCCAUUAAUACAUUUAUUCAUGUUUUCACCCACCUUGACGCAUCUUUCCUUACAAUAUAUGUACAUACAAUAUUGUAUAUUCAUGUAUCAGAAUGUUUAUAUAUCAUUAUUAGACAGUUCUGCACUAUUAUACCACCAUUUCGGGGACAUGAUGUCCUGUAACAGAGGUAUGUACAUUUCAAAGUAAUAUCUUGAAGUAGAUAUUCACAUUUUAAAGUAAUCAAAGAUUUGGAGAUCAUAAGAUAGCAGUUUUUUUGUUGUCUUUAGACAGAAACAGAAAUGUUUCCAGAGACAGACUGAAGUGGAAUCUUUAGAAUUAGUCUUGUGCAAAUAUUCUAAGACAGAAAGUGUAAUUUGGUAUGUAAUGACCAUUGAUGGACCUUAACUGAUAGGCCGAAAUUCACAAAGGUGGUUUUGAAAAACCUAGGUUGAGUCCAUGGUUUAUGCAGAUUUCCUGUAUAAAUUACGCUUCUUUUACUGCGUAUAUUAAAAAAUGUCUAAUGCUGAUGCAUGCUUUUGUCACAGUGUGCAAAAUUGAUGUCUGUUGCCGUGGUUAUCCACGCUAUUUUAUUAAUUAGUCCACUGUUUUGAAUUGAUGAGUCCACUCUUCAAACAGUGGACUCAUGUAUAAAUUAGCGUAUCUAACCAUGGUAACAGGCGUCAAUUUGGCGCUCUGUGACAAAAGCAUGCAUCAGCAUUGGAAAUUUUUAUAUACGUGCUAAAUUAAGCGUAAUUUAUACAGGAAAUCUGCAUAAACCAUGGACUCAACCGUGGGUUUUCAAAACCACCUUUGUGAAUUCGGGCCAUAAUGCUCCAAAUUAUACCUCUGUUACAGAGACAUGAUGUCCAUGUAAUGGUGGUAACACCAAAAAUGCAAGGUUAGGCCAGUAAAAGUACUUGAAUAUUUCCAAAGAGAAAUAUUCCAUUCUGUAGAGGCACAAUUUCUCUCAACUACCUUGUUCUACAUGCCAUCAUAAAUUGAAUUUUCAUGACUGGUGAGAAAAGAGAACACAGAACAGCACUGGUAUACACACAGAGCAUCAAGUUCCAUUUAUUGAUGCGAAAUCUUUCAAAAUAUACAUACCAUCUUGGGAAGGGAAUAAUGUGACUAGCAAUGUUGUUAGCAAAAUGUUUAUUAAGAGUAAUAGAGAUCAACUCCCUUUUGACAGUGGGAGAAUUUAGUCUUAGCAAGGAUGAUAAAUGAUGUCUGUGUAACGGUGGUAUUUUGUCAAAUCUUGUUUCUCAGUUUACUCAAAUAUGCAGGGUGGUAUGAAGCGCCUGGAGUGGAUUUAGUUGAAGAAUUGUCCCAUGAAACUUAGAAUAAAUAAAACAUUUCAUUUAUAACACUUCUA